rnacentral:rRNA from 1 species
CAGCCGCCGCGGUAAUACGAAGGGUGCAAGCGUUACUCGGAAUUACUGGGCGUAAAGCGUGCGUAGGUGGUUGUUUAAGUCUGUUGUGAAAGCCCUGGGCUCAACCUGGGAAUUGCAGUGGAUACUGGGCAACUAGAGUGUGGUAGAGGGUAGUGGAAUUCCCGGUGUAGCAGUGAAAUGCAUAGAGAUCGGGAGGAACAUCCAUGGCGAAGGCAGCUACCUGGACCAACACUGACACUGAGGCACGAAAGCGUGGGGAGCAAACAGGAUUAGAUACCCCCGUAGUCCCUGUCUCUUAUAC